GGUUAGAUGGAGGGGGGAUUCGGUAAGAUGGAGGGGGAUUCGGUAAGAUGGAGUCUGGCUGGCAGAAGAUGGAGGGGGAUUCGGUAAGAUGGAGUCUGGCUGGCAGAAGAUGGAGGGGGAUUCGGUAAGAUGGAGUCUGGCUAGCAGAAGAUGGAGGGGGAUUCGGUAAGAUGGAGUCUGGCUAGCAGAAGAUGGAGGGGGAUUCGGUAAGAUGGAGUCUGGCUAGCAGAAGAUGGAUGGGGAUUCGGUAAGAUGGAG